rnacentral:lncRNA from 1 species
UCCUGAGUUCACGUGCAAACUAUUUUAUUGAAAGAAUGUAUAAUUAAAAAUAAUUUCGAGAACGUGACCCAAUGGCUUAGUCGAACAAUUUACAACAUUUCUUCAAAAAGCUUACACAAUAUUAUUGAUGAAUUUCUUUAUUUUAUAUAUUAAUACCUUCAAUAGGCUCCUUCAUGUCACGUGCAAGCUUCCUGUUCAAUAUCAGCGAAAAUUGACUUGUGAUGUAGCUUGAACUAGAUUAUACAAAAGCUUGAGCUGUUCGAUAAUGUCCAUUUGAACGUCGAAACCCUGAGGAAACAUUUCACCUUCUCCGGAAUCAACCAUUCUCAUUAGUUCGAAUUAGGCUGUCUUCGCUGUCUGAAUAAUACUAAUGUAUCAACUGUGGUGGUGUGAGUAUUUUCUUGACAUCAAUCCAAGGCAAGGAUUUUGUCUUCUUCUUAGGUGAUGAAGCUUUGCCCUUUUUGCCAAGAGAUCUUCAGUUGAUCAGAUCUAAUACGAAUCAUACAUGGGCAAUGGUUGGAGUCAACAGCUUUCCUAAGAAUCCCUCAUCUGAGAUCCAUGGGGAAGAGGAUCAAGUUGCUUCCUCUGGAACCAACAUCGCCUUGGCCAUUCCUUCAUGGCCAGAAUCAGUAAGAAGUUGUGCUUUCAACGAGGAUGAUCGAGUAAUGGCCAUUACGAGCUUCUAAAUGAAGAAUGAGGACCGAUAGUGAAGACUUUUCAGUGGAAAAUUCCGUGUAGAAUCUGAAUUUUUGGGGUUCAGUUGAUACCCCAAAAGAAUCGGAUAAUACGAAUGAGAAAAAAUCAAGGAAGAAUCUGGGUAAACUCCAAAAUAUUAUGUGGAAUAGUUUUGGUAGCUGAAGAUUGCGUGAAUUAUCAAACUGUAAAAUCGAUAAUCGAUAAUACAUUAACUAAUCGGCCCUCGAUCCCCAAGCCAUAAACAAAAGAAAAUGGAGAAGAAAACCACACGUAGAAUAGAAAUAUUAAACACUAGGGAUGAGCAUCACCAGCUAGAUUCAAUGUCCACAUGGAUCUUGGAUCGCGUCAUUUCUACUGUAAAAAUUUUAAAUAUCUGAUCCCAGGAUUAUUAUUAUUAUUAUUAUUUUUUCCAAAUAAAAAAUGAUCAUGAUUCAGAAACGCCAAUCUUUGAUUGAGAAUUAUCCAAUCAUUAUUGUUAAAUAAGUACAUCUGACAUUACAAGUUACAGACUGAGAUUCAGAAAAUGGCAAAAGCACAAACUCAUUAGAGCUUGUGAAAUGCUGAAUAGACAAAUUACAACAACAAAAUAACAGAGUGAAAAAAGAAGAAAAAAACCGAGCCAAAUCUAGUACGGAAAGCAAAUAGAGGCUUUCAUAAAAAUUCUCGUAGAAUCGAGAAGAAAUACUGGUUCAGUCACCCUUGGCAGCUUUUUUCUCCUUAGGUUUGCCCUUUUUGGGCUUCAUGAAGCAGAAACAUGAGCAACAUGGACACUGGAAUAAGAACUUCAUAGCUCUCUCACCCUUUAUUGGUUUUGUGUCUCAAUUCUCAAAUGGUUCUCAAAAUCAGUAUGUAUAGGAAAAGUAAUGCAUUUACAAAAGCUUUUUAUUUACUUUUAUUCUAUUUUAAAAGUUAUAAUUAUAUGACUUUUAUCAUGGGAUUCCAUUUCAAUCACUUUCAAUAAUGAAGAUGCCUGCC